UGGGGAAUAUUGCACAAUGGGCGGAAGCCUGAUGCAGCUACGCCGCGUGGGGGAUGAAGGCCUUCGGGUUGUAAACUCCUUUCGACGGGGGCGAAGCUUUUGUGACGGUACCUGUAUAAGAAGCACCGGCUAACUACGUGCCAGCAGCCGCGGUAAUACGUAGGGUGCGAGCGUUGUCCGGAAUUACUGGGCGUAAAGAGCUCGUAGGUGGUUUGUCGCGUCGUCUGUGAAAUUCCGGGGCUUAACUCCGGGCGUGCAGGCGAUACGGGCUGGCUUGAGUGCUGUAGGGGAGACUGGAAUUCCUGGUGUAGCGGUGAAAUGCGCAGAUAUCAGGAGGAACACCGAUGGCGAAGGCAGGUCUCUGGGCAGUAACUGACGCUGAGGGGCGAAAGCAUGGGUAGCGAACAGG
rnacentral:rRNA from 1 species